GUCCUGGUAUAACGGUAAAACCGCACUGCUUAAUGACGUUGGGUUCGGUGCGGUCGGUGGUUCGACUCCACUCUAGGACA